UCCUUCCACAAAGCUUCUCUCCUGUCGGGCCCCGGUCAGGGGCCACCAUUAGGUCACGUUUGCAGCUUCUGCAGCCUUUACCAAGCACCACACUCCCCCCACCUUGCCCCCUUUGCACCAUCUACUAGAGUUCAUGCUGUGUACCAACCAUCGCUCAAGCAACAUAGCAAAAGUAGGUCCAGGUCCAGAACCAGUGGGCCUCUCCCUCUCCUUCCAACAUAGCAAAAGUAGGAAUUCGGCGCGUCUGUCCACCGGCCUUUCGAGUGAGAUGGCUCCUGACACGCAGACAAAAAGCCGGGGUGUGAAUAUAGAGAUCUGAUCCGUGAGGGCAGCUGGACGUAACUUCAGAGGAUGUGGGUAACGACAGGCAGCAGCUGGACAGCAUGGAGGAAAUCUCAGUGUCUGCCUCUGAGACUGGCAUCUGAUGUGAAGAGGAGCCGGCCUGGUUCUGUGUCUUCUUAACAAUAACAGGCUAUUAACUGGACCUGCUGCUGCUACCAUAUCCUCACUUCACAAUCAAGAUGACUCUGGGAGCCAAGGUGCCACUUCCUCCAGUCAAGUGAAUUGCUCUUUUAAAUUAUGUUUUGUUGCGCUUUUGCCAGAGGGAAAAUUCUUGUGAGCAAAGUGCAGGCUGCAAAAGCCCUGGCAAAAGUUUGAGUCGAACUCAAACAAUCUUCACCGCAUGUCAUUCGGUUAGAUUGAGGCUACCGAAAGUGGAUUUCCAAGAAAGCGUGAAAAAGGAGAUAAUAUUCACACAGCAUGGAAAAACCUUCGUUUUGAUGGAGCUUCCAUAUUUUUAUUGAUCCCUCUCCGUCAGAGCCUGGGAGGUCAGAGGUCAGCCCUGACUAAUGGAAUCUGUAGCCUGUAGUGACUGCAGCAAGGACCUGCUGACCUGCCCAUUGUCCUGUCAGCCACGGCUUCAUUAGCCUGACAGGUUGAGGUGAGUUCGAUCAGGGCUUCCUCAUCACUUAAACGGCUCUCUGAGGAAUGCUACAUCCUUGCUAAUGCACAGCCUGAAGGGGCCCUUAAAAGCCAAAGCUCCUGAACUCAAAGGAGGGAAAAACUUGUGCCUGAUGUGGAAGGAAUUUGCAUUAAAACAUGUGUUGGGACACAGUUGACUAACGUUCAGUUUGUAUUUGACAAAAGAAAAAGAAAGAAGACCAUUUAUUCUCAGCUAGAAGACUAAACAAAAAGAAAGCUUAACGUG